CCGCCCAUGCAAUGCUGACUCCUUUCUCUCUCCUGUCUCCACCCUCCCACCCAGCCCUGCUAUCUCCACGCUGCAAUCUUCCAUAAAAAGACAGAAGUGGGGCGCAGGGGAUGGCGCUGGCCCCGGGGACACUGGGAGGUAGAUUCUUGCCCUCCGUCCUGCUGGUCUGAUACAAAGUCUGGCAGCUGGGUUGGGACUGCUCCCCUCCCCCUCAACCUCCCUGGUUCUUUCCAUCCCGGGGCCGCCUCUGACCUGCCUCCAGCCUUUACAUGCAGCCCAACCCCCACCUGGACAGAAGAAGGGCUGGAACUUCCACGGGGCCUGAGCAACGCGCUCCAGAAUCCCCUUCACUUUAGUUCAGUGAGGCUUUCCCACAGUGGCUGAAAGGCCUUCAGCAAUGGCAGCCGCCAGUCCAGCGGGGGAGAGGGGGUCUCUCAUGGACGAAUCUCCGUCUCUCGGUGAGCGCGGCAUCGUGUUGGCUUCCGUGGAGGCUGGAGAGAAGGGCUGCAAGGUGAAGGGUCCCCAGGCCAGUCCGGGUCUUGCUCUCCGGGGAGACGUCAGGGAGAGGGGCCGGAAGGCAUCCCAGUGCACGCGGUCCAGGCCGCCUGGAGCUGGCUGUCAGGUAACUGUGGUGUUUCCCACCAUCCGACGUGAUGGGCCACCUGCCACCCGCAAGGCUGCCUGGCAGACUCCUGGGGGCCCUGCUAUUGGAGAAACCCAGCAAGAUGCCUGGAGGGGUGGCACAUGAGGAACUGCCGGAUGUUUUGCGAAAGAGUUUUUCCCAGCAGGAAGAGAUGCUUUCACAAGGUGAGCAGAGACCUGGGGGUCUGAUCCCCCACCUGUGUGCAACUGGCGUGGGUCACUUAGUCCCCAUCAGCCCACUGUCCCCUGGAGGAAAUGAGGACCCGACAGCACCCACCGUCCUAGAAGCUGGUUGAGAGACUCAGUGAACCCACCGUCCUAGAAGCUGGUUGAGAGACUCGCCCAUCUCCAUAAUGAGAACACGCGUUUCAGGAGGGCACGGACAAGAGCGUCAGGAGGGCAGAGACAAUGCC